rnacentral:rRNA from 1 species
UACGUAGGGGGCGAGCGUUGUCCGGAUUUAUUGGGCGUAAAGAGCUCGUAGGCGGCUCAGUAAGUCAGGUGUGAAAACUCCAGGCUCAACCUGGAGACGCCACCUGAUACUGCUGUGGCUAGAGUCCGGUAGGGGAGCAUGGAAUUCCUGGUGUAGCGGUGAAAUGCGCAGAUAUCAGGAGGAACACCAGUGGCGAAGGCGGUGCUCUGGGCCGGAACUGACGCUGAGGAGCGAAAGCGUGGGUAGCAAACAGG